AGAACGCUGAAGAGAGGAGCUUGCUCUUCUUGGAUGAGUUGCGAACGGGUGAGUAACGCGUAGGUAACCUGCCUUGUAGCGGGGGAUAACUAUUGGAAACGAUAGCUAAUACCGCAUAACAAUGGGUGACACAUGUCAUUUAUUUGAAAGGGGCAAUUGCUCCACUACAAGAUGGACCUGCGUUGUAUUAGCUAGUAGGUGAGGUAACGGCUCACCUAGGCGACGAUACAUAGCCGACCUGAGAGGGUGAUCGGCCACACUGGGACUGAGACACGGCCCAGACUCCUACGGGAGGCAGCAGUAGGGAAUCUUCGGCAAUGGGGGCAACCCUGACCGAGCAACGCCGCGUGAGUGAAGAAGGUUUUCGGAUCGUAAAGCUCUGUUGUAAGUCAAGAACGAGUGUGAGAGUGGAAAGUUCACACUGUGACGGUAGCUUACCAGAAAGGGACGGCUAACUACGUGCCAGCAGCCGCGGUAAUACGUAGGUCCCGAGCGUUGUCCGGAUUUAUUGGGCGUAAAGCGAGCGCAGGCGGUUUGAUAAGUCUGAAGUUAAAGGCUGUGGCUCAACCAUAGUUCGCUUUGGAAACUGUCAAACUUGAGUGCAGAAGGGGAGAGUGGAAUUCCAUGUGUAGCGGUGAAAUGCGUAGAUAUAUGGAGGAACACCGGUGGCGAAAGCGGCUCUCUGGUCU
rnacentral:rRNA from 1 species